GCAAAACGCGAAGAACCUUACCCACCUUUGACAUGUACGGAAUCCUUUAGAGAUAGAGGAGUGCUCGAAGAGAGCCGUAACACAGGUGCUGCAUGGCUGUCGUCAGCUCGUGUCGUGAGAUGUUGGGUUAAGUCCCGCAACGAGCGCAACCCUUGCCAUUAGUUGCUACAUUUAGUUGAGCACUCUAAUGGGACUGCCGGUGACAAACCGGAGGAAGGUGGGGAUGACGUCAAGUCCUCAUGGCCCUUAUAGGUGGGGCUACACACGUCAUACAAUGGCUGGUACAAAGGGUUGCCAACCCGCGAGGGGGAGCUAAUCCCAUAAAGCCAGUCGUAGUCCGGAUCGCAGUCUGCAACUCGACUGCGUGAAGUCGGAAUCGCUAGUAAUCGUGGAUCAGAAUGUCACGGUGAAUACGUUCCCGGGUCUUGUACAC
rnacentral:rRNA from 1 species